UCAUGAUCAUAUGCGUCAUCACUCAUCAGCUACACUACGCCGUAUAAUCGUAAUUGAUUGAUUGAAUUUCGUGUUUCGAAAAUCGUAUUUCGUCGAAGAGAAAUUUUUCCUAAAAGCCUGUUUUCAACACCAGAUUCGAAUAACCUUAAUUUUUCAAGAACCCAAGACUAAUACCGUCUAAUUAUUCCUACUUCGGAAAUCGCCUUUGGGUGACUGUAUACCGUACUGUAUAGCCAUUCAGAGAUUUCAGGCAGUUCGUUUAAAAAUAUGCU